rnacentral:rRNA from 1 species
AGAGUUUGAUCCUGGCUCAGGAUGAACGCUAGCGGCAGGCUUAAUACAUGCAAGUCGUGGGGCAGCAGGUGUAGCAAUACAUGCUGGCGACCGGCAAACGGGUGCGGAACACGUACGCAACCUUCCUUUAACUGGAGAAUAGCCCCUCGAAAGAGGGAUUAAUACUCCGUAACAUAUUGAUAAGGCAUCUUAUUAAUAUUAUAGCUCCGGCGGUUAAAGAUGGGCGUGCGCCUGAUUAGGUAGUUGGCGGGGUAACGGCCCACCAAGCCUUCGAUCAGUAACUGGUGUGAGAGCACGACCAGUCACACGGGCACUGAGACACGGGCCCGACUCCUACGGGAGGCAGCAGUAAGGAAUAUUGGUCAAUGGACGCAAGUCUGAACCAGCCAUGCCGCGUGGAGGAUUAAGGCCCUCUGGGUUGUAAACUCCUUUUAUCUGGGAAGAAAUGCUUUGAUUCUUCAAAGCUUGACGGUACCAGAGGAAUAAGCACCGGCUAACUCCGUGCCAGCAGCCGCGGUAAUACGGAGGGUGCAAGCGUUAUCCGGAUUCACUGGGUUUAAAGGGUGCGUAGGCGGGUAAGUAAGUCCGUGGUGAAAUCUCUGAGCUUAACUCAGAAACUGCCGUGGAUACUAUUUGCCUUGAAUAUUGUGGAGGUGAGCGGAAUAUGUCAUGUAGCGGUGAAAUGCUUAGAUAUGACAUAGAACACCAAUUGCGAAGGCAGCUCACUACACAAUCAUUGACGCUGAGGCACGAAAGCGUGGGGAUCAAACAGGAUUAGAUACCCCGGUAGUCC